GGCUUUAUAGUCAAUUAUGAUAUUAGACUGCAAUUCUAAAGGAGUAAUAAAAAUUAUUACUAAGGCUU
rnacentral:tRNA from 1 species